rnacentral:lncRNA from 1 species
CAUGGAAUAAGCAAACAGUUGGAUUUAAUCAAGUUGAGGCUAAGCUCUGUGAGUAUGAGAUAGAGGAGCAAGGGAGUUAAGGGUGUAUGCAUGUGAUGAUGACUGGCCAAGUAAGCUGCUUAAGGAGAAGAGGGUACUUGAGAGGGGUGAGAGAUAUGAAAAAGUGGUGUUAUCAGUGGACAGAAGUUCCACAUGGGGGUCAAAGGAUCACUGGAGAUGGGGUCCUAGAGAGACUGAGCUGAAAAGGGGUCAGUGGUUAGAGAGUAGGGUGUCUGAGUUCAUAGAAGAUUUCAGUUAUUGGUAGUAAGUUCAAGGUUACCACCAAAAUUGCAGCUGAGGCAAAGUAGAAGACAAAAUUUUCAAAGGAGAGAUCCAGUGAACUCCAAGGCCGUGCAGCUGGAAGGAUCAUCUUUGUAUCUGUCACCAAGAAGUAUAACUGUGGUGGUGGUAGAGAGUGAGACAGGAACUAAGAUCUGAAAGGAACAAAGGGAAAUUGAGGGGACUGUAUACUAGAAGACUGCAACAAGUACCCAGGUAACUGAUGACAUGUUUUUAAUGGAAGAAGCAGAGGAGAAUGGAUGAGCAGCAUCCAAUGAGGACAAGCAUCCAAUGAGGACAUUGAGGACAAGGAAAUCUACUCUGCCUCCAGGCACAGUGGUAUACUAGGUGUGGGAGAGAAAAGAGCCACUACUUGAGAGGGCUAUAGAGGUAGCAGUGUCAUCAGAAGUCACAAACUCCAAAGUCUGACAGUGGAAGUUCAGAGGGCUAGGCAUUUUCACAAAUUAAUACUCAUUUUUCUUAACCCACAGAAGUCCUCAUGCUAGAGAUGUAAAAAGGCAUAUUCCUAUAAGAAAAACAGCCAUGAAACAUCAUAAUCGUGACCGAGAAGAAUUUUUGGAUUGAAGUUGAAGACUAGAGAUGGCAUUUGGCUCUAUGUGAUCUAAGCCAGGGCAGCAAACCCAUCUAGGCUUAGUUUCCUUAUCUGUAAAAUGGAGAUUAA